CUCUCUCUCUCUCUCUCGUUCCUUCUAUCAUAUACACAUACAUCCUCGCUCGCAUACACACACGUUUACGCGCAUAUCACGGAAAGCGUGUACCUAUAAUAGCUGCUUUUGCUAGCUUCGUCUAACGUGGCUCGUUCCAGAGACGACUCGUCAUUGCUGUAUACCUACAUCUGGGAGAGAGAGAGAGAGAGAGAGAGAGGGGGAGAGAGAGAAAAAGAGAGAGAUAAAGAAAGGGAAAGAGAAAGAGAAAGAGAGAAGUAGAUAGAGAAGAGCAGCCAAUCGCACGGACCAGGAUUAGGGAAUAGAAUAGUCAUUAUCGGUGUAUAUAUCCAAGCACUCGGUCGCUCCGACUCGCUUCGACCGUCCUGGCCGCACGCACGCUCCCCGUACUGCCCCCGCCCCCAACGAAUCGCGCCCUCUCUUUCUCCCUUAAACUUUCUCACUCUCUCUCUCUCUCUUUCUCUCUCUCUCUCGCUCUCUGUCGUUCUCGUGCGUUCUACUCUCCUCCGUCGGUCGCGUUUCGGCUGGUGCGAAACGUCGUGGUGACCGGCCAGAGUAAAGGCAAGCGUGUGUACUGUGAGUUGUCGAUCGAAAACACCUAACUUGCCCCUUUUCGUUCACCGAUCGACAGCACGAACACGACCAAUACGACGACACGGUGUGUUACGUUAACUGAUUUAACCCAAACCCAUCGUCAUCGGACUCCUAUCUUUUCGACAAUACACUUUGCGGAUUCUUUCUUCACUGGAUUAGCAAGAAAAAGAAGAAGAAGAAGAAGAAGAAGAGGAUUUUUGACGUUCAUCAGUUCUUCUACUGCCGAUUACGGCAAACUCUGGAAACAUCGAGAGUAGAAGAAGAAGAAGAAGAGGAGG